AGUGUCUGAAAAAAGCAGUACUACUCGUCGGCCAGUAAAUCCUAACACAUCUGAUGAUGAUGACGCUGCGGAAGCAGGUCCAUCAAAAGAAGUAUGGAGCAGCAGAAGUGGCUCUUCUGUUAGACAUCACCACAAGAAACCUGUGGCCGAAAAGAAAGCAAGGUCGUCUGUCCCGCCACAAACACAGCAGGCUACCCCGCCACGAAGAUUAUCGUCCGUAUGUUCUGUCCCCCCACUCCAAAUUUUGGACACACCUCCAAGACGUCAUCCACACUCCCCUCAUCUUGAUUCUUCGAGUCCUGGGAACAGCAUCCCUCCGCAACAACACCAACACAGUGACAUGGAGGAGACU